AGCACACAAGAUAUUAAACCACACGUCAAUGAUGGAGCGAACAUGAACUUGAUGUAUGAGUCGGCAUAUAAUAUCACAAUUCCAUCAUUUUAAUCAACUACAUGAAAUCAUUUCAGAUACCCUCAACCCAGAAUAAAGCUUAUAUAGUUCAUGAAGUCCUACUUCAAGUAGGCCACAACUAAAUAAAUACAACUUAGCAAGAUAAACAGUGCAGCUUUCAGCAUCAUGCAAGCAGAUGCAGAUCCUAGUCUUCUUAAAACUUGUUUACAUGAUAAUUUGAAGGAACUAUUCUGUGCUCGAUCCAUAUAUAGAACUAUUCAUUAGCUUUAAAUGAGAUUUACCAAUAAACAUUUAACAUUUCAUUGGAUUUAUAAUCUAUAGCAAGCAUCAAAGAAAAAAACCUAAGAGUUCAGACUAGAGGUGAAGCCAAAUAAUAGAUUUUAUAUUUGUAAUAUACUAUCAAAGAAAAAAACCUGAGUUCAGACUAGAGGUGAAGCCAAAUAAUAGAUUUUAUAUUUCUAAUAUACUUUCUCAUACACAUACCUAUUGAAUGUGUGAACAAGCAUAGAUCUGCCACCAGCUUGUGUUAAAAUUUUAUUAUAAGCAUUGGAGAUGCUUAAGAUUCAAAUAUGGGACCACUUGAUGAAAGAGACUUCAUUACUACAUUAGAAAACCAUUAACUAAAAAUCAUGAACAUAUAGUGGGGUCUCAAGAACAAAAUAAAUCAUAUCAUAUCAUAUAAUUGAUUACAGGUUAUGCACUGUGAAGAUAAAGUAGCAUCGAUUGACAAGAACUUCCAUUUAGAUAUCUCAAAAGUCAAAUGACCUGGAGGGAAAGGGUAGAAAGGUCUCUGCACACUUAUUCAAUAUUAAACAAUAUCUCUUAUUUUAUCAAUUGCGGUCAUAAUUUUCACAUCAAAAGUAAAUGGGGCCUAUUUAUUGAGGGAGUUUUUUUCAUACUCAUGGAGCUCAAGAAGCUAAAUUCGCCAAAAGAUGUGUCCUUUUCUCUUUCUUAAUACUGGUAAACACAAAAUAUUAACUGUUCCAAAAAAGAAAUAAUACUGAUUUUUUAUCUUUUUUGUGGUUGCAAAUAAAGAUUAGCAUUCCUUUUAAAGGAAAAGGUUUCUAAAGAAUGACGGUUUGCACUAUAAACAUUGCAAAACUAAUAUAUAUGCAUAUGUGUAUAUAUAUAUAUAUAUAUUAUCACAAAUGUAAAGAGAGACAAUUAUAACAGGAAACAAAAGCAGAGACUAG
rnacentral:lncRNA from 1 species